rnacentral:misc_RNA from 1 species
AUUCUUUUCUGUGAUUUUCACAUUCCCAUUAGCUUCAUAAUUAUCUAUAGGCCUGGAGUGUCACAGGGUCCCACACGAAUUUAAGGAGCUCGCAGCCACUUCCUGUUUCGGUCAUCAAUCGCUGGGACCUCGACUCAUUUAACUAAUUAUGCUUUAUUUUCUUAUUUCUAUUUCACCCUUAUAUGAUUUCUAUUAAUUUUUAUUUAUGACUUUUCUAGAUAUUUAAACAUGAUUCUAAAUAUUCUGACUGUCCGGACAGGCACUAGUCACCAGAACAGUAGAAUGU